AUCUGGCAGCAUGGCUACAUUAUAACUGUUAUGUGCCACAUUAGUACAAUAUGGUGUGUAAGGCUGGGUGGGUGUUUUAAACCCACAUUGUGUGUAGGGAUGGUCGAAGAUGGUGUGUAGAGGAUGGGGGUAGGAUUCUGAUUUCUGAUUUUGAUUUGAACAUCUAUGUUUGAAUCUGAGACGGGCUUAGGCUCGAAUCUGUAUCUGUCUAAUUCUGAAUUUCUGUAUGUGUACAUGCUUAAUUUUGUGGGGUUAUACAUUGAGUUUUUGUAAACUCACAUCUGUUUAUCUGUCCUGUCAGGCAAUCCACAG
rnacentral:lncRNA from 1 species